ACAAAACUGGAGCUUGCUUCAGUGGCGUGAGUGGCAAACGGGUGAGUAACACGUGGGAAUCUACCCAUCAGUACGGAAUAACAUUUGGAAACAGAUGCUAAUACCGUAUAUUCUCUAAGGAGGAAAGAUUUAUCGCUGAUGGAUGAGCCCGCGCAAGAUUAGGUAGUUGGUAGGGUAAUGGCCUACCAAGCCGACGAUCUUUAGCUGGUCUGAGAGGAUGAUCAGCCACACUGGGACUGAGACACGGCCCAGACUCC
rnacentral:rRNA from 2 species